rnacentral:misc_RNA from 1 species
UCCGGCUUGACGCCGGCGGUCUCGUUAGAGUUCCCGGCAUGACCCGUUGGCAACUAACGAUAGGGGUUUCGCUCGUUAGAGGACUUAACCCGACACUUCACAGCACGAGCUGACGACAGCCAUGCAGCACCUGUGCUAGUUUCACCCGAAGGCAGCCUACUCCUGUUUCCAAGAGAGCAUCCUAGCAUGUCAAACCCAGGUAAGGUUCUUCGCGUUGCUUCGAAUUAAUCCACAUGCUCCACCGCUUGUGUGAGCCCCCGUCAAUUCCUUUGAGUUUUAGCCUUGCGGCCGUACUCCCCAGGCGGCGCACUUAGCACUUUUGCUCCGGCACGAUCGGCGUUAAAACCUCUCAUACCUAGUGCGCAUCGUUUACGGCGUGGACUAC